rnacentral:rRNA from 1 species
UACGGGGGGGGCAAGCGUUGUUCGGAAUUACUGGGCGUAAAGGGCUCGUAGGCGGCCAACUAAGUCCGACGUGAAAUCCCCAGGCUCAACCUGGGAACUGCGUCGGAUACUGGAUGGCUUGAAUUCGGGAGAGGGAUGCAGAAUUCUAGGUGUAGCGGUGAAAUGCGUAGAUAUCUGGAGGAAUACCGGUGGCGAAGGCGGCAUCCUGGACCGACAUUGACGCUGAGGAGCGAAAGCUAGGGGAGCAAACGGG